UACGGAGGAUCCAAGCGUUAUCCGGAAUCAUUGGGUUUAAAGGGUCCGUAGGCGGUUUAGUAAGUCAGUGGUGAAAGCCCAUCGCUCAACGGUGGAACGGCCAUUGAUACUGCUAGACUUGAAUUAUUAGGAAGUAACUAGAAUAUGUAGUAUAGCGGUGAAAUGCUUAGAGAUUACAUGGAAUACCAAUUGCGAAGGCAGGUUACUACUAAUGGAUUGACGCUGAUGGACGAAAGCGUGGGUAGCGAACAGG
rnacentral:rRNA from 1 species